rnacentral:rRNA from 2 species
GGACGAACGCUGGCGGCGUGCCUAAUACAUGCAAGUCGAGCGGACCGACGGGAGCUUGCUCCCUUAGGUCAGCGGCGGACGGGUGAGUAACACGUGGGUAACCUGCCUGUAAGACUGGGAUAACUCCGGGAAACCGGGGCUAAUACCGGAUGCUUGAUUGAACCGCAUGGUUCAAUCAUAAAAGGUGGCUUUUAGCUACCACUUACAGAUGGACCCGCGGCGCAUUAGCUAGUUGGUGAGGUAACGGCUCACCAAGGCGACGAUGCGUAGCCGACCUGAGAGGGUGAUCGGCCACACUGGGACUGAGACACGGCCCAGACUCCUACGGGAGGCAGCAGUAGGGAAUCUUCCGCAAUGGACGAAAGUCUGACGGAGCAACGCCGCGUGAGUGAUGAAGGUUUUCGGAUCGUAAAACUCUGUUGUUAGGGAAGAACAAGUACCGUUCGAAUAGGGCGGUACCUUGACGGUACCUAACCAGAAAGCCACGGCUAACUACGUGCCAGCAGCCGCGGUAAUACGUAGGUGGCAAGCGUUGUCCGGAAUUAUUGGGCGUAAAGCGCGCACAGGCGGUUUCUUAAGUCUGAUGUGAAAGCCCCCGGCUCAACCGGGGAGGGUCAUUGGAAACUGGGGAACUUGAGUGCAGAAGAGGAGAGUGGAAUUCCACGUGUAGCGGUGAAAUGCGUAGAGAUGUGGAGGAACACCAGUGGCGAAGGCGACUCUCUGGUCUGUAACUGACGCUGAGGCGCGAAAGCGUGGGGAGCGAACAGGAUUAGAUACCCUGGUAGUCCACGCCGUAAACGAUGAGUGCUAAGUGUUAGAGGGUUUCCGCCCUUUAGUGCUGCAGCAAACGCAUUAAGCACUCCGCCUGGGGAGUACGGUCGCAAGACUGAAACUCAAAGGAAUUGACGGGGGCCCGCACAAGCGGUGGAGCAUGUGGUUUAAUUCGAAGCAACGCGAAGAACCUUACCAGGUCUUGACAUCCUCUGACAACCCUAGAGAUAGGGCUUCCCCUUCGGGGGCAGAGUGACAGGUGGUGCAUGGUUGUCGUCAGCUCGUGUCGUGAGAUGUUGGGUUAAGUCCCGCAACGAGCGCAACCCUUGAUCUUAGUUGCCAGCAUUCAGUUGGGCACUCUAAGGUGACUGCCGGUGACAAACCGGAGGAAGGUGGGGGAUGACGUCAAAUCAUCAUGCCCCUUAUGACCUGGGCUACACACGUGCUACAAUGGGCAGAACAAAGGGCAGCGAAGCCGCGAGGCUAAGCCAAUCCCACAAAUCUGUUC